UUAUCGUGAUAGCACUAAAGUGGAUUGAUGUAGAUUCCCCAGUUUGGAAAUGGACUGAUGAUUGUUGAUUGCUAUAACUAGACAUUAGUUUCACGAGUUAAUAUGCUUCUGCAUAUUUUUUACUUUAAAAACGUCAGGAAACGCCUCUAUCGGUCCGUGAAUGAAGUGGCCAAUCAUUAUUCUACCCUAAACACGCAAAAUUAUCAUAAUUUUUUGACUUAACCUGUUCGUUAUCCGUUUUAGGUUAGGGAAGCACUGACAUAUUUCCGCAUGUCCUUCCCCGUUCUUCACUCGGAAAACGGAAUACGAGCAUAGUAAACGUAGGCGGGGAAAUGGGAGGUGCAGUCGAACGGGGUGCGUUCAUUUAUGUUUCAUGCAGGGCAGCACUUUAUCUUGCAAAGUUAUCCUCUCCCUGAGCUCGAAUUUCUGAAGAGCCAACGUAUGGACAGAUUCCUAGCAGCAUUGCUAGUUAUACGAUGUACAAUCACCAUGACUUUGACAGCUGUACCAUGCUCCCCUUCCCAGCAAGGACAAAUGGAGACCUAAAACACAGACAACCUCACUAGUUCAAGGCCUGUAUUGCUUUGGUUGAUGUGGUGACAUAAUCCACUGGCCCCUUAAACAGGCUGGCAGAGGACAGCUGCAGGUCUAGACAAGCCAUGGGAGAGGGCCUCAAGUCAAGGUCAAGGAUACUUUAUUGUCCCCGAGGGGCAAUUAUUUGUACAGCCAGCAGAAAAAAACACAAAAACACAACACACAUACACCAUAGUGUAGAAGCACACAAUCUCUAAGCCUCUAAAACACACUAUUUAGAAAAAAAUAAAAAACAUCUUAAAACAGUUCUGACAAUUUGUUUAAAAUCGAGAUAGAAGUCGGGAUAAGAGAGUUUCUAAAUCUAUUUGACCUGCAUCUGGGCAUGGAGUACCUACGGCCUGAGGGAAGUAGCUUAAACUGGCAGCACAAAGGAUGACUAGGGUCAGCUGCAAUAGCUUGGGCCUUCUUCGCUACUCGGUUGGAAUAAGUGUGAGAAAGGGGGGAGAAGUUAAUGCCUGCAAUUUUUCUACACGUCCUCACAAUACUCUCUAGUUGUUUUUUGUGGACAAGGAACCAAACCAGCAGAUAAAACAAAAGGUUAAGACAGACUCGAUAAAACAAGAGUAAAACAUUCUCAUCAAAGUAUGGUCAAUGUUAAAAUUCCUCAAUCUAGGAUAGAAAUGCAUACGCUGCUGGGCUUUGGCGCAAACAGCAUCAGUGUGUGACUCAAAGCAUAGCUUGCUGUCAAUUAUUGUGCCAAGGUACUUGUAAUCUUUAACUAUCUCAAUCGGUUUACCAUCAAUGAUAGUGAGGGGUAGAGGGGGUCUCUGUUUCCUAAAAUCAAUAAUUAAUUAUUUUGUUUUAGAGACAUUAAUGUUUAAAAAGGAACGCUUGCACCAAUCGUUAAAAUCGUUCACAAUGCUAGAGAUCACCCUAUAAAUGGCAGGUGCUUUGAGAAUCAUGUGAAGCCAGUAUGUGUCAGUCAUACUAUACAUGCUAAUCUAGCACUAGUACACUUGCCAAAUAUGCACUAUAUUUACAUAACAUGUUAGUCAUUUAACAGAUGCUCUUAUUAUGAACGACUUCUAGGAUCAGUUGAGGCAAGUAACCUUUUGCUAACUGACCCCACAUGUUAACCACUACGAUGUCUAGCAAUAUACUGCCAUCUAUACAAUGACUUCAGCAAUGUCUUUGAUAUAUUUCAGUCUACCUUCCCUUCCUAGCUCCAGAUGACCCAUGUUAUGCUGUGGGAGUCCCAUCCCAUACCCUCCUUCUUCACUGCCAGAACACACCUUAAACACCUCCUGGGACAGGUUGGAGCUGACCAAUAUUUGCAGAUUGGGGACAAGUGGAGCUGAUUGGGUCGUUGACAGGUUUCACCUGGGACCAACUAGAAGGUUUACGUUCCUGGUGCCCAGUCCUGGCUCUCUCUCCCCCCACAAGGACUAUUUUGUGAUUUGGUUGAUUGUAUUUUGAUUAGGUUCAUGCCUCAACAAAUUUUACACUCAUCCAGGCUUCUCCACUCAUAUGUCAUCUUUCACACUUCACAGGUCUGUGUUCCUUUGUAAUUUUACACUUAGUUUUUGAAUAUCCUUUAAUGCCAACGUGAGGACUUCCUUGCUUGUCACCAUCUGAGAGCCGGGUCGUGACAAUAUAACCUUCAACAUGCAUCCAAUCCAUUUUCCUUUUAAUGAAGUGAUCACUGAUUAGGAUUGGAUUUAGAGUUUGUGUCGAUAAUGUUAAUUAGUUGAACAUAUGCAGAUUUACUGGUUAUCUAAGUAUACGUUUAUUUGACUAGUUAUUAUUGGUUAGAACAGAGGUGUCAAACCGGUUCCACGGAGUGCUGAGUGUCUGCAAGUUUUCAUUCUCACCUUGUACUUGAUUGAUUAAUUAUGUCACUAAUUGGUUCAUUUCUACCCUCACCUGGUUGUUACCCUCACA